UACAGAGGGGGCAAGCGUUGUUCGGAAUUACUGGGAGUAAAGGGCGCGUAGGCGGCCUUCUAAGUCGAACGUGAAAUCCCCGGGCUCAACCCGGGAACUGCGUCCGAUACUGGAAGGCUUGAAUCCGGGAGAGGGAUGCGGAAUUCCAGGUGUAGCGGUGAAAUGCGUAGAUAUCGGGAGGAACACCAGUGGCGAAGGCGGCUUUCUGGCCUGUUCUUGACGCUGAGGCGCGAAAGCCAGGGGAGCAAACGGG
rnacentral:rRNA from 1 species